CAUCAGAUGACUGAAAGCAAGUACUGG
rnacentral:tRNA from 1 species